rnacentral:lncRNA from 7 species
AGCAAACUAAAGCACUGCACAACUCAUUUGUUACUUGCUGCUUGCUAGAGGAAUACAAUGAUGACUGAUGUAAAAAGCCCUGAUAUUCUGCACAUUUCUUAUUUAUUCUUUUAUGUAAACACAGGUCUCCUCUCCUGGUGAUACCAGCAUUCAAAGGGCAAGUGUGCUUCCAGUUGGAACAAGAGAUGGAACAGAAGAGCAGUGUCUGAGGCAGUCAGCCCAAAUAAAAAGAUGAACUGAACUAUGGAAAAAUUCCACACCACAACCUUAGUCCAGCCACCUAGGUAUACAAAUCUGAAUAAGAAGUGUGACUCCAGCUGCCCUGAGCUUUGCUGCUUUGAUUUCUUCAUCACUGAAUCUGACCCUGAGCCUGAAUUACUUCAACAAGAGUCCCAAAGGGAACAUUCAUACGGGAUUGAUCUUGUCAUUUCAGUCUUCUUGCUCUUUAUUGAAAGAAAGGAUAAAAAGCCCCUUGCAUCCACACUCUUGCAAGAGAACAUCUUUCUGAAAAGGACCACAGAACACUGGCAACUGCUGAGAGAAAGCAUUAGUAGAAAGAAACAGAGUGAUUGUAAGAGGAACAGAGAAAAUAAUCUACUUACUAACGUACACAGGAUGAACUACGGAAAGUUCAUGCAAGGAAAAAAAAGUAAAAAACAAACAUGA